UACGAAGGGGGACUAGCGUUGUUCGGAAUCACUGGGCGUAAAGGGCGCGUAGGCGGCUUUAUAAGUCGGGGGUGAAAGCCUGUGGCUCAACCACAGAAUUGCCUUCGAUACUGUAGAGCUUGAGACCGGAAGAGGUAAGUGGAACUGCGAGUGUAGAGGUGAAAUUCGUAGAUAUUCGCAAGAACACCAGUGGCGAAGGCGGCUUACUGGUCCGGUUCUGACGCUGAGGCGCGAAAGCGUGGGGAGCAAACAGG
rnacentral:rRNA from 1 species